GCUGAUUGGUUAAUCCCAACUGUCAGUCCUUUACACAAGGGAUUAUGGUAGAAAAUGUGACUACCCACGUGACCUGGAAGGUCACAGUAGAAACAUUAGUCAUGUGACCUAAGGUCCUGCAGACACUAGAUAAAUACAUUUACACUAAUUAUAGAUAUGUAACACACAAAAUUAAAGAAUGAAGAGGUGACUAGGGGUUAUCUCAGAAAGCGGCCCCCAACGGUACUAAGGAACUCUGACCUUGGGGACCCAGCACACAAGGCUUUUAUUGUGAGUACUAUGGAAACAGAUCACCUAAUUGAUUUGUCUGCUUCGAGUACUGUGUAUAAUUGCUCAGCUUGCAUAAAGACAGCCAAGGCUAUAGCAGGCGUUCUUCCACUCCUGCACACAGGACAUGCUAAGCCCCACCUCAACUUCCUGUAAUUUUUUUCCUGGGUUUGUCUCUUACUAGAAACAAAAAUUCCCAUACAACAGAUAGUGGACAUAGAGUGCAAAAGAAUAGGGACGCCUAGCGGCCACGAUUUUAGGGUCUUCAUUGAAUGCCGAAUUUAUGAUGGAUCACGUAAUCAUUUUAUCAAUUUACUGUUGACUCUACAUCACAUGGGGAAAGACCCUAUUUCCUAAGAUCACCCUUGAUGGGAGAUGAAAAAUGAG